rnacentral:rRNA from 1 species
GAGAAGCUUGCUUCUCUUGAGAGCGGCGGACGGGUGAGUAAUGCCUAGGAAUCUGCCUGGUAGUGGGGGAUAACGCUCGGAAACGGACGCUAAUACCGCAUACGUCCUACGGGAGAAAGCAGGGGACCUUCGGGCCUUGCGCUAUCAGAUGAGCCUAGGUCGGAUUAGCUAGUUGGUGAGGUAAUGGCUCACCAAGGCGACGAUCCGUAACUGGUCUGAGAGGAUGAUCAGUCACACUGGAACUGAGACACGGUCCAGACUCCUACGGGAGGCAGCAGUGGGGAAUAUUGGACAAUGGGCGAAAGCCUGAUCCAGCCAUGCCGCGUGUGUGAAGAAGGUCUUCGGAUUGUAAAGCACUUUAAGUUGGGAGGAAGGGCAUUAACCUAAUACGUUGGUGUCUUGACGUUACCGACAGAAUAAGCACCGGCUAACUCUGUGCCAGCAGCCGCGGUAAUACAGAGGGUGCAAGCGUUAAUCGGAAUUACUGGGCGUAAAGCGCGCGUAGGUGGUUUGUUAAGUUGGAUGUGAAAUCCCCGGGCUCAACCUGGGAACUGCAUUCAAAACUGA